rnacentral:tRNA from 1 species
UCCUGAUGGCUCAAAUGGUAGGCAAUCUGCCUGCAAUGCAGGAAUCCCAGGUUCUAUUCCUGGAUUGGGAA